CCAAAGGCUCUUUUAAGAGCCACCACAACCUCAUUAAAGAGCUGU
rfam:Acanthisitta chloris contig77463, whole genome shotgun sequence.